CCCGCUGAACUUAAGCAUAUCAAUAAGCGGAGGAAAAGAAACCAACAGGGAUUGCCUCAGUAACGGCGAGUGAAGCGGCAACAGCUCAAAUUUGAAAUCUGGCUCUUUCAGGGUCCGAGUUGUAAUUUGUAGAAGAUGCUUCGGGUGUGGCUCCAGCCUAAGUUCCUUGGAACAGGACGUCAUAGAGGGUGAGAAUCCCGUAUGCGGCCGGUGGCCUUCGCCCAUGUGAAGCUCUUUCGACGAGUCGAGUUGUUUGGGAAUGCAGCUCAAAAUGGGUGGUAAAUUUCAUCUAAAGCUAAAUAUUGGCCAGAGACCGAUAGCGCACAAGUAGUGUGAACGAAAGAUGAAAAGCACUUUGGAAAGAGAGUUAAACAGUACGUGAAAUUGCUGAAAGGGAAACGCUUGAAGUCAGUCGCGUCGUUCAGGAUUCAGCCUUGCUUCUGCUUGGUGUACUUCCUGUUUGACGGGUCAGCAUCAGUUUUGGCCAGUGGAUAAAGGCUCAGAGAAUGUGGCAUCCUCGGAUGUGUUAUAGCUUUGGGUCGCAUACAUUGGCUGGGACUGAGGAACUCAGCACGCCGCAAGGCCAGGUUUCGACCAUGUACGUGCUUAGGAUGCUGGCAUAAUGGCUUUAAUCGACCCGUCUUGAAACACGG
rnacentral:rRNA from 1 species